ACGAACGCUGGCGGCGUGCCUAAUACAUGCAAGUAGAACGCUGAAGGAGGAGCUUGCUUCUCUGGAUGAGUUGCGAACGGGUGAGUAACGCGUAGGUAACCUGCCUGGUAGCGGGGGAUAACUAUUGGAAACGAUAGCUAAUACCGCAUAACAGUAGAUAUCGCAUGAUAUCUACUUGAAAGGUGCAAUUGCAUCACUACCAGAUGGACCUGCGUUGUAUUAGCUAGUUGGUGAGGUAACGGCUCACCAAGGCGACGAUACAUAGCCGACCUGAGAGGGUGAUCGGCCACACUGGGACUGAGACACGGCCCAGACUCCUACGGGAGGCAGCAGUAGGGAAUCUUCGGCAAUGGACGGAAGUCUGACCGAGCAACGCCGCGUGAGUGAAGAAGGUUUUCGGAUCGUAAAGCUCUGUUGUAAGAGAAGAACGAGUGUGAGAGUGGAAAGUUCACACUGUGACGGUAUCUUACCAGAAAGGGACGGCUAACUACGUG
rnacentral:rRNA from 1 species